AAAAUAAAUAGAUAAAAUAUUUAAAUUAUAACUAUUUAAUAUUGAUUUAAUUUAAGAUCAUCCCUGGUUCAUCCAUGUACUAUCAUAUAUAAGAAUGCCAAUCCUCAAAAUUAAGGUAUUAGAAUCAAGUCUGCUUAUCACUGAUCACCAUAGUGAUCACAAAACACAAUUCUUACAUUUUUCUUUUUGAUGAAACGAUAUAUGGGUGC
rnacentral:lncRNA from 1 species